UUUAUGGAGAGUUUGAUCCUGGCUCAGAGUGAACGCUGGCGGCGUGCCUAAUACAUGCAAGUCGAACGAUGAAGCUUCUAGCUUGCUAGAAUGCUGAUUAGUGGCGCACGGGUGAGUAACGCAUAGGUUAUGUGCCUCUUAGUUUGGGAUAGCCAUUGGAAACGAUGAUUAAUACCAGAUACUCCCUACGGGGGAAAGAUUUAUCGCUAAGAGAUCAGCCUAUGUCCUAUCAGCUUGUUGGUAAGGUAAUGGCUUACCAAGGCUAUGACGGGUAUCCGGCCUGAGAGGGUGAACGGACACACUGGAACUGAGACACGGUCCAGACUCCUACGGGAGGCAGCAGUAGGGAAUAUUGCUCAAUGGGGGAAACCCUGAAGCAGCAACGCCGCGUGGAGGAUGAAGGUUUUAGGAUUGUAAACUCCUUUUGUUAGAGAAGAUAAUGACGGUAUCUAACGAAUAAGCACCGGCUAACUCCGUGCCAGCAGCCGCGGUAAUACGGAGGGUGCAAGCGUUACUCGGAAUCACUGGGCGUAAAGAGCGCGUAGGCGGGAUAGUCAGUCAGGUGUGAAAUCCUAUGGCUUAACCAUAGAACUGCAUUUGAAACUACUAUUCUAGAGUGUGGGAGAGGUAGGUGGAAUUCUUGGUGUAGGGGUAAAAUCCGUAGAGAUCAAGAGGAAUACUCAUUGCGAAGGCGACCUGCUGGAACAUUACUGACGCUGAUUGCGCGAAAGCGUGGGGAGCAAACAGGAUUAGAUACCCUGGUAGUCCACGCCCUAAACGAUGGAUGCUAGUUGUUGGAGGGCUUAGUCUUUCCAGUAAUGCAGCUAACGCAUUAAGCAUCCCGCCUGGGGAGUACGGUCGCAAGAUUAAAACUCAAAGGAAUAGACGGGGACCCGCACAAGCGGUGGAGCAUGUGGUUUAAUUCGAAGAUACACGAAGAACCUUACCUAGGCUUGACAUUGAGAGAAUCCGCUAGAAAUAGUGGAGUGUCUGGCUUGCUAGACCUUGAAAACAGGUGCUGCACGGCUGUCGUCAGCUCGUGUCGUGAGAUGUUGGGUUAAGUCCCGCAACGAGCGCAACCCCCUUUCUUAGUUGCUAACAGGUUAUGCUGAGAACUCUAAGGAUACUGCCUCCGUAAGGAGGAGGAAGGUGGGGACGACGUCAAGUCAUCAUGGCCCUUACGCCUAGGGCUACACACGUGCUACAAUGGGGUGCACAAAGAGAAGCAAUACUGCGAAGUGGAGCCAAUCUUCAAAACACCUCUCAGUUCGGAUUGUAGGCUGCAACUCGCCUGCAUGAAGCUGGAAUCGCUAGUAAUCGCAAAUCAGCCAUGUUGCGGUGAAUACGUUCCCGGGUCUUGUACUCACCGCCCGUCACACCAUGGGAGUUGUGUUUGCCUUAAGUCAGGAUGCUAAAUUGGCUACUGCCCACGGCACACACAGCGACUGGGGUGAAGUCGUAACAAGGUAACCGUAGGUGAACCUGCGGUUGGAUCACCUCCUUU
rnacentral:rRNA from 1 species